GGCUCAGAUUGAACGCUGGCGGCAUGCCUUACACAUGCAAGUCGAACGGCAGCGGACCUUCGGGUGACCGGCGAGUGGCGAACGGGUGAGUAAUAUAUCGGAACGUACCUUUCAGUGGGGGAUAACGUAGCGAAAGUUACGCUAAUACCGCAUAUUCUGUGAGACAGGAAAGCAGGGGAUCGCAAGACCUUGCGCUGAUUGAGCGGCCGAUAUCAGAUUAGCUAGUUGGUGAGGUAAAGGCUCACCAAGGCGACGAUCUGUUAGCGGGUCUGAGAGGAUGAUCCGCCACACUGGAACUGAGACACGGUCCAGACUCCCUACGGGACGGCAGCAGUGGGGGAAUUUUUGGACAAUGGGCGCAAGCCUGAUCCAGCCAUGCCGCGUGAGUGAAGAAGGCCUUCGGGUUGUAAAGCUCUUUCGGCCGGGAAGAAAUCGCACAGGUUAAUACCCUGUGUGGAUGACGGUACCGGAAUAAGAAGCACCGGCUAACUACGUG
rnacentral:rRNA from 1 species